AAAGUUGCGCGUUUUGAAGCGUGUUGGCCGCAGCUCCAUUUAAGGAGAGGCUACAAUAAAUAAAUAAACAAAUAGACUAAAUAAUGAACGUAAUUCAUAACUUCUUUUACAUAUCUUGGAGAUAAAACUAUGUUAGGCGGCGGAACCAACCCAGGGAUUUUCAAAGUAAACGCAGCGUGUGUUACGGAGACGCACUGAACCGCUGCUGACGUCGACGUCACGUACAGGUGUGGGACCUCCGUUGGUAAUUCAUUGAGUGACUGCACCAGGAUAACCUGGAAACAGCCGGAGGAAACUAGCAGAUGAAAUUGGUUGGAGGGGAGUCAAUGUCAGACUGAAGAUGGGAACAGAGUGUAACAAGCUGACAAUUUAGUCUGAUAUCAGGCAAGUAUACAAACAAUACAGAGUGGAGUAAAAGGUUAAUGUGAUAUUUAUGAAUCCAGUACCUAAGAAUAGCACUGAACCACAAAUAUUUCCACUUAAGGUGUCAUAUAAACAUGACAAGUGGAGCUGUUACAUAAAUAUAGCGUAGUGGUAUUACUACUGGGAAUUAAGAGUUGUCUCUUAUCAGUAAUUGUGCUGAUUCAUUGUCUAAUCCUUGAAAACUUCACAUACACACACACCAACCAAACCCGUCUCACUAAAUCUAAUCCAGCGUCCUCCUCGUUCCCCCUCCAAUCCCUGGCAGCGGCACUAUCUCUGCCUGUUGAGACACAACACGCAGGGAGUCAAACAUGUGGGAGGACGGUGAGUUUGUCUAUGUAGUAUUUCUGACAAGGAAUGGCGGGUAAGCUUUCCCAGCCUUGAUGAGAUGCGUCAACAGGAUUUAUAAUCCUCUGUGCAGACAUUCAGACUAUCAUAUCUGUCUUCAUCCCAGCACCAAAAAUCACACACAUGUCCAAGGUUAAACAAUAUCUCUGAAGUCAAACUCCUGACUCGAGAUUAAUGUUUGCGCUCGCUAGUAUUGCCUGUUUCGGUUUCGACUAGCAGACAGUUUGGGGAAGUGCAAAGAGGGGCUAAGGUUGGGUUUUAGUUUUUGGACUUUGGACGAGGCGCCGAAACCCAAACACCUCUCCAGUGAGGGCAAAUAUUUGCUUUUGGCCCUUCUUUCCUUUUCCUUUUUCUACAGCAUUCUCCCUGCUGCUCCUCAGUAUAAACAUGUCCUCUAUUUUAUCCUGUUUUGUCUUGGUGUAGAUUGUGUUAUACUAAAGAUUUUAGUUUACAGGAUACAGUCAAGGAUUCAGACCCAGUACAGAUAACAACAGCAAGGUUGCUAAAGGAUGUUGUGCCUUAAAGGACAUCUUCUAUCAAUGUACCACAGCCAUGACCCUGCACUCUCUGUUUGGCAUAUGUGAGUUGGAUAUUGAGAUGACAUGACAAGAUUAAAGUUUCUCUUUUCAUAUUUUAUAUUGUGUCAGCUUUGCUAGAUGGUCUUCUGUGAAAAAUAACAGGACAGAUGGAAGAAGAAGAGACAGAUUCACACCAGAGCUGAAAGUGUAUCUGAUCUGAUGGUUUUAGAGUAAUGUGACCAGAAACAACGAACAGUCUUCUCUUUUCAUCUCUGGUUCUGACCACAUUCACAUGUUCUCCAGAUCACUGCCAUCUUAACUCUGCCUUUCGACCAGGAACAGAUAAAGAAGCUUUGAAUGAAUAGACACCCUCCAUUCAAAAACAACCACUAAAAGCAAACUUAAGAAAUGGCUUCAGGAUUACUGUCAACGAAAUUAACUUGGCUGCCAAACAUCCAUUGUGGACCACUUUUUAGGUGGCACUGCAUGAAAAUGUCGUUUCAUUUAGUUUGACAUUUUGAAUAUGCUUAUUUUCUUGAUUUUGAUGAGAAGGUUGAUUCAUAUUUAAGCCACAAAAGGUACCUAAAGAAAAUGGUGUGAUAUAAUUACUAAAUUUCAAAUUGCAAUCCCUUACUCUACUUGUUACUGAAAACGUAAUUACAUCACUAUACUAAUAAAGUAAAGGCCAAUCCAUGCUUUCUGCGUUCCACCUACGCAUCGGGGGUCAUGGCCACAAACACGUUCCAUAUGUAAGUACUAGUGAACUGGGUUGCAGUGUGAUAAAGUUGUAAAAUCCAGUCUGUGAAUAUUACAAACCACUGUGCAGUGAUCAGCGUUUAAACGCAAUAAUCUGUUACUCCUCUCUCGCACUUAAAACAAUACACCCACACCAUCACAGCCCCUUGUAUUGUGUGUUUACACAGGGCUGUUUUCAGUCUGAAUGCAGCUCAGGAGUUCCCGUAUGUUGCUGAACAACAAGACAAGGUUGAACAUAGAAAAGCAAAAUCUUAAUGAGAAUAGGAAUACAGUACACACAUACAGUAGACGACACAAGCGUGCCUGUUUACUUUUCUAGCACAUGCAUAGGUGGCGCGCUUGCAAUGCAUACAGUCUGCGUAGUCACAAAUUUUGGGCUGUGUGCAGAUGUCCAGAGGGGGGGCCACGUGGACCUUUGUCGACAUGGGAAGAUGAUGAAAUUUACAUCAUGCGGACCCUCACGGUCAUGUGGAUGCAGAGAACAUGAAUGGGUCAAGCCAAAGAUAUACUCCCAAGGGGACACAUAGUAGCUCUGUUUUUACUACUUUCUGGAGUUCGCCUGUAGGACGCAUUCCACACAUGUGCAGUAGAUAGGUGUCUGCAGUGUGACCACGCAUACAACAAAUCGGAGGUAUGUGGAUGUCCACACAGAGCCUACGCAUACACCUUCUGAUGACAAAAUUUACGUUACACUGUCCCUAGCAGACCCUUGCGUACUCACGGACGCAGAAGGUAUAAUUUCAGUUUUACUGCCCAUCACGCCCAUUGAGAGAAACCCAAUUGUGGGCUAAAGCAGGUAAGAUUUAUAUAUCAGUCAAAUCAGUCUUUCUCUCUGACAGAAUCUUACUUUGCACUCAACCCCCAACUCACAUAUUCAGAGAAUGUUUUUAUUGCGGUGAAGGGGGAGGGAGUUGUAACAGGAGGGGGCUCUUCAGUAUCCAGCAGACACCACAGUGCUAUGAUGACCUGCCUGUGUUCAGCAUGCAUGCACUGUUGUUCACAACAUGAACCCGCAUUGGCUGACAUUUAUAUUUUUUGGGUGAGAGAUUAAUUAUUACAGUGGUGGUGCAGAUACUGAGAGUUAACAAUGACAGCAAACAAACAUGCACAUUCCAUGCAGUGGGGGUGGGGAGGAGCUGAGGGAGAGAGGUUUGUUUGUUUUGUUGUUUCCAAGCCUCCAGCCUUUCUAUAGCCUCCAGCUUUGUGACCUCUACGACCGGGAAGGAUCAGUGAUUACAAUCAACACUAAUCCCAUACACACCAACAACAGAUAUUCUAAUCCCCGCUGUGACAAUCCUCCAUAAACCUGAUGUUAGACAAGUUUAGCCCAGGUGAUUUAUGACUCAGGAAUAGCCAGUGACCUGUGGUGGGACAGACAAUAACCCGCUGACUGACAGCUGCUGUUGAGCUUUCACCAAAAGGUAAACAUCUUAAUUCAUGUUAAUGGACUUCGGAUGUGCUUCUCGGUUUAGGAAGUAACAAUAAACUCUAUCCUUUCUUAGUGCAGCUAAUCGCCCGUAACUUGGGUGACAGUAGCUGAUGGACUUGAGGGAGGAAAAGGUUUUCAAGGUGUCCUGUGUUUGUGCACAUCAGUCACAAGGCAACUGCUUGCUCAGGAGCUUUUCACUGGCACAUUUUAACCUUGACUGCCAGACAACACAUAACAUUAAUAUAUAUAUGGUGGUUAUUAAUAGCACAAGUCACAAUUUAUUCACCAGCCCCAGGUAAAGAAAUCUCAUAGUCCAAUUGUGUGCUAUUUUUAUCCCAGUGUUCAAUACGUAUUUACAAUGACAACACGCAGCAAGGACUCAAAGUGACAUGAAAAAAUUAUUGUCGACCCAACAGUGAAGCAGAAGAUAAAUCUGGUUGUGACAGCAAAGGAUAAAGCUUGUGUUGAACUCAGCUUAAAUUUGGCCCCAGGACAGCCAUCCACCCGUUCCCUCUCUCUAACCUUGCUCAAAGGCACAACGACCAGCUGCGACUGACUAGCAUCAAGUCACACAGAGUCCUUGAUCUUUGGCUCUGGUCUACCACAGCAAAGUUGGGCCAGCACUGACAGACAGAGAAAAUCAAUAAUCGUUUAUGAUUGUUAUAAAAAGGUCCAUUAGCCAUCUAUCUUACUAGUCUGUUCAGCACUCUCCUGUCCUGAUCUUUUAGUGGUCAGAGAAGUCACACAUGGGCAAAGCACAUAUAAAUUUUGCAUCACGCAAUACUUUCAGAACUGCAUUCAAUACUUGUAAUGAAUUAUUAAUGGCGUAUACCCAUCGAUGAUCUUUAUGAAAAUAAGUGCAGUUCCAGUCAAUGUUUGAUUGUUUCAAAGUCAAAUAUCCUCUGUUUUAGAAGGUGACUCCUACUCUGCCAAAUGAGUUGUGGAGCAAAAUAAAGGCAAAUGGCAAAAAAAGGUAGUUAAAUGUACUUUUUAAGGUUUUAGUGAGCAGCUUCAGACCAUAGUUGACAAAAUUCAACUCCCAACUAUCAGCUGCAGUGACAUUAGAUGAAUAAUCUAUGAAAACUGGACAUUAAUCCAGUAAUACAAUGAUGAUUUAAUUCACUAUCAAUGAAUAGAAGCAUUUAUAGUUACCAUUUGGUGCUUUACGCACACAUCUUUCCCUGGCACUCAGGAAAUGAUGCAUUUUACUUGUGCAUCAAAGGCAGGAGCUGCUUGUUUGGAAUAAAUAAAAGAAAAAAUGGACAAACGGAGCUCUAUCUAUCCAGAUUUCAUCAAUACUUGCUUUAUCACAGGUUGAUGCUCAACCUGUGAGAAAUUCAGUGUAAAAACACCACGACAAUAACUGCUUCUUACUGAAAACAUCCCCAGACUUGAUAAUUGUUUUUCUUAAAUGGAGAGUAUUUUGUAUUAUACUGAUCUUAGUCUAAAUGGACCAAACUGAACUAGGAAUACAGUGCUGACAAAGUCCCAGGUGGCAGCGUGAAUGGGGACAAGGCCAGGUAUGACAGCUGGUGCUUGGAUCUUGCCCGUAUUGACUCUCAGCUAUUAGCAUGACCCCAUGUUGCUACAUGUGCCACGUGGAUGCCGUAUCAAAACAACAACAUCCCUCUGUUCCCAGAAACACACACAGCCAUACUGUAUAUCCUGACUCAUACUACCACAGAGCCGUGCACACACUGAGAUGAGACAUUCAGAUGAUUCUCAGUGAUGACAGUCUGCGAAAAGGUGGGAAAGAAAAAUGACUCAGGUAAGAUAAAGGCUUGAUAAAAUCAAGGACUUUUAUGUAACCAGGGAGCUACCCCUCGCCUAGCUAGCCUCUGUUCAUCUAUGGUUAAUGCUAAGAAAAUAAUGAUAAUGUUUUAUCCAGCCUGGUCUCGCCAAAUGUUGUAUGAAUAACAAUUUCUUAAAG